CUGUUUACCGUUUGGUAGCUUUCUUCUCAUUAGGCUGCUAGAUAUUAUCAUAGUGAAUGUAAGCUUUCAUCCUUUUAGGAUCCAUAAAUUAUAAGAACAAUUAAAUUUAUGAAGACCAGCAGUCAAUACAAUCAAGGAAGAAAAUAGAUCUGCAUUCUUAGUCCAUCGUUUUAAGAAUGAAAAGAAAUAGCUUUAAAUGUAUGAAAAUUUAUCAAGUAUUUUGGCAGUAACUGCUAUGAUUUAGAGUAUAAAAAUGGAAGAGAAGCUAGAAAGUGUAAAGUAUAUACAGCAGUCAAGUUGGUCUACUGAAAUUGUAAACAGGAAUUAGUGUUUGGAUAAGAAUAGCAACUAUUUUUUGGCAACCUGCCUGAUAUAGUCUUCAUCAUCAUUGUGUAUUGUUCAUAACAUUGCUGCUUAGGCUAUGAACUGCACCACUAAACCUUUUAAAACACACAUGAAGAGCAAAUUGCACAAAUGAAUUCGUUGCAAAUUAGAUAUGAAAUGAAUUCAACAAAUUUGAAAGGAAUUCAAAGUGUUUCAGGAGAUUUAUAGAAAUAUUGGUCUUGUUAUUGCAGUGAAAUAUUAUUGAUUUAUAGAACAAAAAUGGCCUUGAAAGAAUUCUAUCUGAUGAGCCAAAGUGAGCAAGAGCCAAAGUCCUAAAUGACUUAAGAUUUCGUCCUGGUACGCAUUGGGCUUCAGACUACCCUAUUCCAGUUGGAAGAAGUCUGCUUUAGAAAUCAAAUAGUUUCUUACAAUAGACAAAAUAUCAGAUAUAUUCUAGUGAUAUAUUAUUCUAGGGUCACAGAAUUAGAAAUAAAAUUGGUUUUUUUGUAUUUA